rnacentral:rRNA from 1 species
UACGUAGGGGGCUAGCGUUGUCCGGAUUUACUGGGUGUAAAGGGCGCGCAGGCGGAUUAGCAAGUCAGAGGUGAAAUCCUACGGCCUAACCGUAGAACUGCCUUUGAAACUGUUAAUCUUGAGUUCGGAAGAGAGAGACGGAAUUCCAGGUGUAGUGGUGAAAUACGUAGAUAUCUGGAAGAACACCAGUUGCGAAGGCGGUCUCUUGGUCCGAUACUGACGCUCAGGCGCGAAAGCGUGGGUAGCAAACAGG